ensembl:lncRNA novel transcript
GCUGCUUUUUACUGUGACAGUGCAACACUGAAUUCCAAUGCAAAGUCACACAGUGAUUUUUCUUUUCAUUCCCCAAGUAUUCAGAUUCUCUCUUCAUGCCAUGUGGUGGCUGCCAGAGAGAAAAGUGGUGUCAGCAAUUCAAGACUGUGUUUCCUUACUCUCUUCAGUGUCUCCUUCCUUGAUAUGAUGCUAAAACCAGGUUCCAUUAAGUCCAGUUUGAUAACUGCAGUAUUCAAAACUUCCUUGUCUUUGCUAUGUUUUCAUCAGAGAGAGGUACUUUGGAAUGAUAUCAUCACAGGAGGAACAUGGAAGUUCUACAGCACAUCUCUUUGGAGAGUAUCUAGGCAUGGAGAUUUUAAUGACCCAGAGCAGUAGAAGACAGAGUUGAAUUAUUUCAUUGUCCUCAAACAUCAUGCAUAGGUGUCUACUGGAGACAUCACAUACCAAGUGGCUUUGCUUGAUCAAUGCCUGAAACCAGGACAUGCCAACCAGUAUUGCUCAACACUUGCAGGCAUGGAAAUGAGAUGAUGAGAGAUGGAUAACACCCACACACAGACUUUGGUUCUAUAUAAAACUUCAAGUGUUUAGAUUUGACUUCAGAGAAAAGAGUGUUGGGUUAAAUUAAGUCUCAGCCACUCCAGCAGCAAAGAGUUUUAAAUUUAUGGUAAGCCCUCUUCUACCUUAUCUAGCAGGUAUGAAGUCAAUGUAACUAAAAUUGUCACUUAUUUGUCUUGCUUCUCUUAGUCAUAGUGGGUAAGCAAUCACUUUCUUCCAUAUUUUUCUUCGAUACCUAUAGUAGCUAAAAAAAGGUAAGUUACUUUUGAUGGUUCAGUAAAUGACACUCAAAUUUACCCUGCCCACAUCUAUUCUGAAUGUCCCUGAUUCUGCUUCUCAAGAGAGUAUGGACUUGGCUGAGAAUCCGUAUUGAUGCUGCUUAGAUUCAUUAAAUUCACAGUAAUCUCUUCUCCAACCUUCAGAAGAUGCUCAAAAACCUGGCUGAUGAGGUCCUCCAAUUUCUAACAUUGUUAAUAGUCUACUCUAAACUACUUAAGAAUUCAACCAUAGCCAAUAAUUUUCCUUUAUUUGAGAGAAAUAAUAGCCCCAAAGGCUGGGUCUUUAAGAAGUUUUAAAUUACAUUUCUUCCUCUGAAUCUCUUGCAAGCUCUUGUGGCUGUACUCUGGCCCCAGGGGCUUUCAAAGAUUUUGCUUGUGACUCCACAGUAAGGUAUAUUCAAUAGAUACCAAAAAUAAUAAAAUUAUAAAACAGCAUCUUUACUAUGAGUGGUACACUCUAACAUUUUUCUUUUCUAUUCUAUUCCAUUCUAAUGAUUUUUAUAUCAUUUAAAAAUAUUGGUUAUGACUAGACUGACAAUAAUGAGUGUCUCCAGGAAAAUCCUGGCUUAUCUUUGUUAAUUCCACAUAAUUAUUUGUACCAUUUAUGUUUCUCUGUAAAAUGUUUCAUGUUGUAUAAUAAAUUAUUUGGUUAUCCCAGUUAAAAUUCACUAAAUUGAUUUCUCAGCAUACUAACAGUUGUAAUUCAAAUAUUUAGGUAUUUGUCUUC